ACGGAAGGCAGCAGUAGGGAAUAUUGCACAAUGGGGGAAACCCUGAUGCAGCAACGCCACGUGUGGGAAGAAGCAUUUCGGUGUGUAAACCACUGUCGUGAGGGAAUAAUGCUUAAUUUCGGUUAAGUUGAAUGUACCUCGAAAGGAAGCACCGGCAAACUUCGUGCCAGCAGCCGCGGUAAUACGAGGGGUGCAAGCGUUGUUCGGAAUCACUGGGCGUAAAGGGAGCGCAGGCGGAGAUGCAAGCAGUCUGUACAAUACCGGGGCCCAACCCCGGACCUGCAGACUGGACUGUUUCUCUUGGAUAGUUCAGGGGCAAGCGGAAUUCCUGGUGUAGCGGUGGAAUGCGUAGAGAUCAGGAAGAACACCGAUGGCGAAGGCAGCCAGCUGGGGACUUAUCGACGCUGAGGCUCGAAAGUGCGGGUAGCAAACAGGAUUAGAUACCCUGUA
rnacentral:rRNA from 1 species